rnacentral:pre_miRNA from 13 species
GAAUGCAUUCCGUAUGGAAGACUAGUGAUUUUGUUGUUUGGUCUUUAAUAAAAUUAACAAUAAAUCCCUUGUCUUCUUAUGGCGUGUAUUU